AUUGAACGCUGGCGGCAGGCCUAACACAUGCAAGUCGAACGAGUGGCGGACGGGUGAGUAAUGUCUGGGAAACUGCCUGAUGGAGGGGGAUAACUACUGGCAACGGUAGCUAAUACCGCAUACCAUCAGAUGUGCCCAGAUGGGAUUAGCUUGUUGGUGGGGUAACGGUUAACCAAGGCGACGAUCCCUAGCUGGUCUGAGAGGAUGCCCAGCCACACUGGAACGUAGGCACGGUCCAGAUUCCUACGUGAGUCAGCAGUGGGGAAUAUUGCAAAUUGGGCGCGAGCCUGAUGCAGCCAUGCCGCGUGUAUGAAGAAGGCCUUCGGGUUGUAAAGUACUUUCAGCGUGGAGGCGUUACCCGCAGAAGAAGCACCGGCUAACUCCGUGCCAGCAGCCGCGGUAAUUC
rnacentral:rRNA from 1 species